CACAUGGAAACACCAGUUCUCAUAUGAUCACUGAAGUUAAGCCUUGUCAGUAUCUCAAUGGGUGACCACUUGGGAAUAUCAGGUGCUGCAAGC